rnacentral:rRNA from 1 species
UACAGAGGGUGCGAACGUUGCUCGGAAUUACUGGGCGUAAAGCGCGUGUAGGCGGAUGGGUAAGUCAGAUGUGAAAUCCCCGAGCUCAACUCGGGAACUGCAUUUGAAACUGCUCGUCUUGAGUACCGGAGAGGGUGGCGGAAUUCCUGGUGUAGAGGUGAAAUUCGUAGAUAUCAGGAGGAACACCGGUGGCGAAGGCGGCCACCUGGACGGUUACUGACGCUGAGACGCGAAAGCGUGGGGAGCAAACAGGAUUAGAAACCCUCGUAGUCC